rnacentral:rRNA from 1 species
GACGAACGCUGGCGGCGUGCUUAACACAUGCAAGUCGAACGGAAAGGCCCUGCUUUUGUGGGGUGCUCGAGUGGCGAACGGGUGAGUAACACGUGAGUAACCUGCCCUUGACUUUGGGAUAACUUCAGGAAACUGGGGCUAAUACCGGAUAGGAGCUCCUGCUGCAUGGUGGGGGUUGGAAAGUUUCGGCGGUUGGGGAUGGACGCGCGGCUUAUCAGCUUGUUGGUGGGGGAGUGGCUAACAAAGGGUUCGAUGGGUAGCCGGCCUGGGAGGUUGACCGGCCACAAUGGGACUGAGAGACGGCCCAGACUCCUACGGGAGGCAGCAGUGGGGAAUAUUGCACAAUGGGCGGAAGCCUGAUGCAGAAACGCCGCGUGCGGGAUGACGGCCUUCGGGUUGUAAACCGCUUUCGCCUGUGACGAAGCGUGAGUGACGGUAAUGGGUAAAGAAGCACCGGCUAACUACGUG